rfam:Felis catus isolate Cinnamon breed Abyssinian chromosome X, whole genome shotgun sequence.
ACCUGGGUGGCUCAGUCGGUUGAGCGUCCGACUCUUGAUUUCGGCUCAGGUCAUGAUCCCAGAGUUGUGGGAUCAAGCCCCGUCUCAGGCA